AGUUAUCUGGUAUAGAAAUUAC
rnacentral:snRNA from 1 species